AUCUUUCUAAUAUAACACUUAAUAUGCGUGGUUUCCACCCACAUAAUUCUGGUGCAACCCCAGAGAAAGAUA
rnacentral:tRNA from 1 species